rnacentral:rRNA from 1 species
CGGCCUAUCAGCUUGUUGGUGGGGUGAUGGCCUACCAAGGCGACGACGGGUAGCCGGCCUGAGAGGGCGACCGGCCACACUGGGACUGAGACACGGCCCAGACUCCUACGGGAGGCAGCAGUGGGGAAUAUUGCGCAAUGGGCGAAAGCCUGACGCAGCGACGCCGCGUGGGGGAUGAAGGCCUUCGGGUUGUAAACCUCUUUCAGCGCCGAAGAAGCGGAAGUGACGGUAGGCGCAGAAGAAGCACCGGCUAACUACGUGCCAGCAGCCGCGGUAAUACGUAGGGUGCAAGCGUUGUCCGGAAUUAUUGGGCGUAAAGAGCUCGUAGGCGGUUUGUCGCGUCUGCUGUGAAAACUCGGAGCUUAACUCCGGGCUUGCAGUGGGUACGGGCAGACUAGAGUGCGGUAGGGGAGACUGGAAUUCCUGGUGUAGCGGUGAAAUGCGCAGAUAUCAGGAGGAACACCGGUGGCGAAGGCGGGUCUCUGGGCCGUAACUGACGCUGAGGAGCGAAAGCGUGGGGAGCGAACAGGAUUAGAUACCCUGGUAGUCCACGCCGUAAACGUUGGGCGCUAGGUGUGGGGCUCUUUCCACGGGGUUCCGUGCCCGCAGCAAACGCAUUAAGCGCCCCGCCUGGGGAGUACGGA